GGCGGACGGGUGAGUAACACGUGGAUAACCUACCUAUAAGACUGGAAUAACUUCGGGAAACCGGAGCUAAUACCAGAUAACAUGUUGAACCGCAUGGUUCAACAGUGAAAGACGGUCUUGCUGUCACUUAUAGAUGGAUCCGCGCCGCAUUAGCUAGUUGGUAAGGUAACGGCUUACCAAGGCAACGAUGCGUAGCCGACCUGAGAGGGUGAUCGGCCACACUGGAACUGAGACACGGUCCAGACUCCUACGGGAGGCAGCAGUAGGGAAUCUUCCGCAAUGGGCGAAAGCCUGACGGAGCAACGCCGCGUGAGUGAUGAAGGUCUUCGGAUCGUAAAACUCUGAUAUUAGGGAAGAACAAAUGUGUAAGUAACUAUGCACGUCUUGACGGCACCUAAUCAGAAAGCCACGGCUAACUACGUGCCAGCAGCCGCGGUAAUACGUAGGUGGCAAGCGUUAUCCGGAAUUAUUGGGCGUAAAGCGCGCGUAGGCGGUUUUUUAAGUCUGAUGUGAAAGCCCACGGCUCAACCGUGGAGGGUCAUUGGAAACUGGAAAACUUGAGUGCAGAAGAGGAAAGUGGAAUUCCAUGUGUAGCGGUGAAAUGCGCAGAGAUAUGGAGGAACACCAGUGGCGAAGGCGACUUUCUGGUCUGUAACUGACGCUGAUGUGCGAAAGCGUGGGGAUCA
rnacentral:rRNA from 1 species